GGGCACGCACGUGCCCCGCCCCCUCGACGCGUCACGCCGUCCGGGCUGUGGGUACCGCCCUAACAGCCACUCUGGCCGCGGAGAGGCGGGCCUAAGGAGUGACGUACGCUCGGGGUGAGGCUCCGCCCGCUCUGUGGAGGCUCUCAAGCGGGGUAUUUGGCCACAGCGACAUCAGAGACAAGAAGAGACACAGAUGAGAGACAAGCACAUGAAAGAUGCUUACCAUCCUUCGCCAUGGCAAAAAGUGAAAUUAAAAAGUCGAGGGGACAUUACUGUGCAUCUGAUGGAGACAUGAGGACCCGUAGGGCUUGCUGGCCAGCCAGUCUAGCCCAGUCAGUAAGCUCCAGGUUCCAUUGUGCCUGUGGUCUUCAAGAGCUCUGCACACCCACAGACAUAAAAAUAAAGUUCAGGUGAAAUAAAUGAGAGUGUGUACCAUAGGUCACUACCUGACACUUUUAGAGACGAGGAAACAGGGUUAGUGCCUGUAGCUUGCCUGAGUACAGAGCUGAUGAGACAGGCCUGGAUCCAAGCUGAGGAUUUCCUAGCUCCAAAGGCCAUGAACUCACUCACCUAAAACAGUUCUGGCUGGUACCUUUGGUGCAAGGCAAAUGACUUAAGGGUUCAGUUCACUGAUUGCAGAUUGUAAUUGUUGACUUCCACCUUCAGUAAAGAUUUCACUGUCUG